GGGGGUUGAAGGUAUUUGAAACGAUGAUUAAACUCAAUUAAAAUGCAUGGAAAUUAAACACAACCGAAUAAAAUAGAAAACAUUAAAGUAAAAUAAAAUGCUAAACCCAACAUUACAUAGAUAAUUAUCAAACAUAGCUAAAACCAUUAAAAUGCAACACUAAAUUAAAUGGAUGAAAAACCACUAAACAUAUAAUGUUAAAC
rnacentral:lncRNA from 1 species